GACCCUGAGAUUAGCUCAGCUGGUUAGAGCAUGGUGCUAAUAUCACUGAAGUUGUAGGUUCAAUCCCUGUGUGGGCCA